GACGAACGCUGGCGGCGUGCUUAACACAUGCAAGUCGAACGGAAAGGCCCUGCUUUUGUGGGGUGCUCGAGUGGCGAACGGGUGAGUAACACGUGAGUAACCUGCCCUUGACUUUGGGAUAACUUCAGGAAACUGGGGCUAAUACCGGAUAGGAGCUCCUGCUGCAUGGUGGGGGUUGGAAAGUUUCGGCGGUUGGGGAUGGACUCGCGGCUUAUCAGCUUGUUGGUGGGGUAGUGGCUUACCAAGGCUUUGACGGGUAGCCGGCCUGAGAGGGUGACCGGCCACAUUGGGACUGAGAUACGGCCCAGACUCCUACGGGAGGCAGCAGUGGGGAAUAUUGCACAAUGGGCGGAAGCCUGAUGCAGCAACGCCGCGUGCGGGAUGACGGCCUUCGGGUUGUAAACCGCUUUCGCCUGUGACGAAGCGUGAGUGACGGUGAUGGGUAAAGAAGCACCGGCUAACUACGUGCCAGCAGCCGCGGUGAUACGUAGGGUGCGAGCGUUGUCCGGAUUUAUUGGGCGUAAAGGGCUCGUAGGUGGUUGAUCGCGUCGGAAGUGUAAUCUUGGGGCUUAACCCUGAGCGUGCUUUCGAUACGGGUUGACUUGAGGAAGGUAGGGGAGAAUGGAAUUCCUGGUGGAGCGGUGGAAUGCGCAGAUAUCAGGAGGAACACCAGUGGCGAAGGCGGUUCUCUGGGCCUUUCCUGACGCUGAGGAGCGAAAGCGUGGGGAGCGAACAGGCUUAGAUACCCUGGUAGUCCACGCUGUAAACGGUGGGUACUAGGUGUGGGGUCCAUUCCACGGGUUCCGUGCCGUAGCUAACGCUUUAAGUACCCCGCCUGGGGAGUACGGCCGCAAGGCUAAAACUCAAAGGAAUUGACGGGGCCCCGCACAAGCGGCGGAGCAUGCGGAUUAAUUCGAUGCAACGCGUAGAACCUUACCUGGGUUUGACAUGGAUCGGGAGUGCUCAGAGAUGGGUGUGCCUCUUUUGGGGUCGGUUCACAGGUGGUGCAUGGCUGUCGUCAGCUCGUGUCGUGAGAUGUUGGGUUAAGUCCCGCAACGAGCGCAACCCUUGUUCACUGUUGCCAGCACGUUAUGGUGGGGACUCAGUGGAGACCGCCGGGGUCAACUCGGAGGAAGGUGGGGAUGACGUCAAGUCAUCAUGCCCCUUAUGUCCAGGGCUUCACGCAUGCUACAAUGGCUGGUACAGAGAGUGGCGAGCCUGUGAGGGUGAGCGAAUCUCGGAAAGCCGGUCUCAGUUCGGAUUGGGGUCUGCAACUCGACCUCAUGAAGUCGGAGUCGCUAGUAAUCGCAGAUCAGCAACGCUGCGGUGAAUACGUUCCCGGGGCU
rnacentral:rRNA from 1 species